GCGGCAGGCCUAACACAUGCAAGUCGAACGCUGUAGCAAUACAGAGUGGCAGACGGGUGAGUAACGCGUGGGAACAUGCCCUUCGGUUCGGAAUAACUCAGGGAAACUUGAGCUAAUACCGGAUACGCCCUUAGGGGGAAAGAUUUAUUGCCGAAGGAUUGGCCCGCGUCCGAUUAGCUAGUUGGUGAGGUAAUGGCUCACCAAGGCGACGAUCGGUAGCUGGUCUGAGAGGAUGAUCAGCCACACUGGGACUGAGACACGGCCCAGACUCCUACGGGAGGCAGCAGUGGGGAAUAUUGGACAAUGGGCGCAAGCCUGAUCCAGCCAUGCCGCGUGAGUGAUGAAGGCCCUAGGGUUGUAAAGCUAUUUCGCCAGGGACGAUAAUGACGGUACCUGGAUAAGAAGCCCCGGCUAACUUCGUGCCA
rnacentral:rRNA from 1 species